rnacentral:lncRNA from 1 species
GAGGGAGAGGGGUUGAGUCAAGAUGGCGGCCAAGGUGGCGAAGCAGCAGCCGCGGCGGCGGCGGCGGCUGGAGUGAGCGUCCGACUCGCCGCGCCGAACGAGGUCCCGGUGUAGGGCCGCGCGCCGUGGCCGCGUCCCACUCCUCAGGCCGGGGCGCACGUCGGCUCCCACGCUUAGCCAGCUCCCGGUGGUUUCCUAGAAACAUGAUUGUUUAUUGGCAUUGAUCUCACAGUCUGGUGAGGACUUCUUUACUGAUAAUGUCAAGUUCAGGUUAUCCUCCCAACCAAGGAGCAUUCAGCACAGAACAAAGUCGUUAUCCUCCUCACUCUGUCCAGUAUACAUUUCCCAACACCCGCCACCAGCAGGAGUUCGCAGUCCCUGAUUAUCGUUCCUCUCAUCUUGAAGUGAGUCAGGCAUCACAGCUUUUGCAGCAACAGCAGCAGCAACAGCUUCGAAGGCGACCUUCCUUGCUUUCAGAAUUUCACCCAGGUUCUGACAGGCCUCAAGAAAGGAGAACUAGUUAUGAACCGUUUCAUCCAGGCCCAUCCCCAGUGGAUCAUGAUUCACUGGAAUCGAAGCGACCACGUCUGGAACAGGUUUCUGAUUCUCAUUUUCAGCGUGUCAGUGCUGCGGUUUUGCCUUUAGUGCACCCGCUGCCAGAAGGGCUGAGGGCUUCUGCAGAUGCUAAGAAGGAUCCAGCAUUCGGAGGCAAACAUGAAGCUCCAUCCUCUCCAAUUUCGGGGCAACCAUGUGGAGAUGAUCAAAAUGCUUCACCUUCAAAACUCUCAAAGGAAGAGUUAAUACAGAGUAUGGAUCGUGUAGAUCGAGAAAUUGCAAAAGUAGAACAGCAGAUCCUUAAACUGAAAAAGAAACAAGUAAAUGUCUUUGCUUAAUAUAUUCUAAGAAUGUAUGUUUGUCUCCCUACAGUAGAUAUUUUUGAGUUUUCCAUAUUUUGAAACUUUACAUAAAAGGAAUCAUGCCUU